rnacentral:rRNA from 1 species
AUGGAUAUGGAACAUGAAAUACCAAAAAAAUUAGGUGUACUUGCUACUCAUGGAGAUGGGGAACCUCCUAAAACCCUCGAUGCUGGUUUUGUGAAAAAUAUUAUGUACUACUUUAAUAAUCCUGAGAAAACCCCAUUCAAUUUUGUAACGGGAGUAAUGUUGGAUCAACGUGAAUACUUUAGGGAUUACCUCUUGACACGAAAAGGGAAACUAUUAUGGGAUCAAAUUCAUAUAUUGAACUGGUAUGCUAGGCAACUAUGCUUGAGAUAUGAUUAUACUUGUUGCUCUAAGGUGAAGGCUCCACACCUUCCCUUUUCAUGUGAAUUUAAUGAUAAUGAAACCUUAGCUUCUUAUGCUAAUGGUAUAUAUGAUUACUAUGAUGUGGAACAAAUAGAAGAAUUUGUUGCUUUUAAGGGUGCUUAUGAAAUUGAAUCUUUGUUUGAAAAGCAUGAAGCUUAUGAUGAUGAUGUUUAUAGGCCUGAAAAUUUAGCUAUAUUAAAAUAUUGCUAUGAUAAUUAUGAAUAUAAUUCCUAUAUUAAUGCGCUUAUUGAGAAAGUCUCUGCUGUCCAAGAAGAGACUAAUAUUUUACAGGAGUCUAUGGAAGAAGAAAUUGAUGAAACUGUGAGCUCAUUGGAUGAAAAAGAUGAGGAGGAGAGCGAAGAACAAAAGGAGGAAGAGCGGAUUAGCUACCCAUUCCCACCUUCUAAUGAGAGUAACUCUUCAACUCAUACAUUGUUUAAUUUCCCUUCGUGCUUACCGGAGGAUGAUUGCUAUGAUGAUUGUUAUGAUCCCGUUGAUUCUUUUGAAAUAUCCCUUUUUGAUGAUGCUUGCUAUGCUUGUGGCCAAGAUGCCAAUAUGAAUUAUGCUUAUGGAGAUGAACUUGCUAUAGUUCCUUAUGUUAAACAUGAAAUUGUUGCUAUUGCACCCACACAUGAUAGUCCUAUUAUCUUUUUGAAUUCUCCAAACUACACUAUAUCGGAGAAGUUUGCUCUUAUUAAUAUUGAUUGGUUGCCUUUUACCAUUGCACAUGAUGAUUUUGAUGAAUAUAAUAUGCAUGUGCUUGCUGCUCCUACUUGCAAUUAUUAUGAGAUAGGAACUAUGUCUCCACCUCUCUAUGUUUCCAAUAUGAUAAAAUUGCAAGAAACUGUUUAUACUAUGCAUUGGCCUUUACUUUGUGUGCAUGAAUUGUUCUUUUAUGACAUGCUGAUGCAUAGGAAGAGAGUUAGACUUAGUUGUUGCAUGAUAUAUGUUACUUUGUGCUCACCACUAAAUUACAAAUCAUUGUUAAUUAAAAUUGGCUUUGAUAUACCUUGGGAUCCGGGUGGAUCCAUUACUUGA